ensembl:lncRNA
UUUUCGAAUUCCACUUUAAUAAAAACAUUUUCGAAUUCCACUUUAAUAAACUGCAUUUCAAAAAACAUUUUCGAAUUCCACUUUAAUAAACUGCAUUUCAAAAACCUUUUUCGAAUUGCACUUUAAUAAACUGCAUUUCAAAAUCCAUUUCCCUUUCCUGUUCGCUCAGGGAUUAACAUGUGGAUUAGCAGUUGGAUUAACAACUUCAUUUUAAAAAUCCUGCUGCUAUUCAAAUUAGCCACACCGUGGGAUGUAAGGAGCUCUCUGAUUGGCUGGUCAGACAGGCUGUCUGCCAGCCUGGAUUUUUCUAGCUCAUAGCUUCGCCCUGCUACGAAGCAUGUGUGCUUGUACAAAGGCCGUUCAGCCUCGGGAUUUACACUCGGCUCGACACGGAUAUGUGAAGAAUGAAGGGAGCCUGCAGCGAAACGGAGAGCUAACCUCUGACUGAGUGCCCGUUUACUCAGUCUGACCACCUGUUGAAGGGCUGUUUGAUGACGAUUUGGACUCCUCUGGGUGAUGAGGACACACCCACAUCUGUUCCAUACUGCAGCCAUGGAUGGUGUUACAGCUCUGAGUCCGCUUUGGGCCAUCAGAUGCACACACUGGAAAACCAGCGCCUGUACUUCAUGCAGGAGAGAUGACCUCAGUGAUAAUUCAUCAGCAGCUGUGAAGAGAUGUAUUUGAAUAUCUUCUGGUUCCACUUUUCUUAACCUGGAAGCUGAGGAUGGCUAAUUCCUGACAAGGACACACACCUCAGCGCUUAUCAUGGGUGUUACAUCCUCUGCGCAGCAAUUCCAGAGAAAACGAGAGAGCAACGACCACACAUUAAGACCAGACAGAAAUCUGUCCCUUUCUGGCAGCUGUGGAAACUUCCAAUAAGAAAGUUUGCAUUCUUAGAACAAUGCUGGGUCAUGUGUGAUGUGUCAUUAUAUGAGGAUAUUACAUUUUAACUUAAUUCUGCUCAAUUAAGUGUUUUGUUCGUUGAUCCAAUAUGGCAGCUUUUAUUGUGCUCCAAGUUAAAACUCAUUGUCCUCAUGAGCACAGCAUCUAACAACUCUCCUUAAAAA